rnacentral:rRNA from 1 species
UACGUAGGUGGCAAGCGUUGUCCGGAAUUACUGGGUGUAAAGGGAGCGCAGGCGGGAAGCCAAGUCAGCUGUGAAAACUACGGGCUUAACUUGUAGACUGCAGUUGAAACUGGUUUUCUUGAGUGAAGUAGAGGUUGGCGGAAUUCCGAGUGUAGCGGUGAAAUGCGUAGAUAUUCGGAGGAACACUGGUGGCGAAGGCGGCCAACUGGGCUUUAACUGACGCUGAGGCUCGAAAGUGUGGGGAGCAAACAGG